GAUGAAGAACGUAGCGAAAUGCGAUAAGUAAUGUGAAUUGCAGAAUUCAGUGAAUCAUCGAAUCUUUGAACGCACAUUGCGCCCUCUGGUAUUCCGGAGGGCAUGCCUGUUCGAGCGUCAUUUCACCACUCAAGCCUCGCUUGGUAUUGGGCAACGCGGUCCGCCGCGUGCCUCAAAUCGACCGGCUGGGUCUUCUGUCCCCUAAGCGUUGUGGAAACUAUUCGCUAAAGGGUGUUCGGGAGGCUACGCCGUAAAACAACCCCAUUUCUAAGGUUGACCUCGGAUCAGGUAGGGAUACCCGCUGAACUUAAGCAUAUCAAUAAGCGGAGGA
rnacentral:misc_RNA from 1 species